ACCACUAUUAAUUUAACAUUAAAUCACUGACCACAGAAAAUGCACCGAACAUUCAUUUGUGGAUGCGGGACCAGGCUUUGAAAGAGGACGCUGCUCAGCCAAGGCCACACAGCUGGCCAUUUUUCAUUACCGCUGCGCUUACUCUACUGAAUUGUACGCAAUCAUGACGAUUUCACUGUAAAUUCAUCCUCCAGUCCCUCUCUGCUCCACAAUGCCAACGUUCCUCUCCCUAGCACAGAUUCUCGCUUUGUCGAUCAACACUGUCAAGCAGCGAUCAACACCUUAUUUUUAAAAAUGAGG